UGACAUACCACUUGUUGCCUCGGCGGAUCAGCCCGCUCCCGGUAAAACGGGACGGCCCGCCAGAGGACCCCUAAACUCUGUUUCUAUAUGUAACUUCUGAGUAAAACCAUAAAUAAAUCAAAACUUUCAACAACGGAUCUCUUGGUUCUGGCAUCGAUGAAGAACGCAGCAAAAUGCGAUAAGUAAUGUGAAUUGCAGAAUUCAGUGAAUCAUCGAAUCUUUGAACGCACAUUGCGCCCGCCAGUAUUCUGGCGGGCAUGCCUGUUCGAGCGUCAUUUCAACCCUCAAGCACAGCUUGGUGUUGGGACUCGCGUUAAUUCGCGUUCCUCAAAUUGAUUGGCGGUCACGUCGAGCUUCCAUAGCGUAGUAGUAAAACCCUCGUUACUGGUAAUCGUCGCGGCCACGCCGUUAAACCCCAACUUCUGAAUGUUGACCUCGGAUCAGGUAGGAAUACCCGCUGAACUUAAGCAUAUCAAA
rnacentral:rRNA from 1 species